AUUGUACGCUGGCGGCAGGCCUAACACAUGCAAGUCGAGCGGAUGAAGGGAGCUUGCUCCUGGAUUCAGCGGCGGACGGGUGAGUAAUGCCUAGGAAUCUGCCUGGUAGUGGGGGAUAACGUCCGGAAACGGGCGCUAAUACCGCAUACGUCCUGAGGGAGAAAGUGGGGGAUCUUCGGACCUCACGCUAUCAGAUGAGCCUAGGUCGGUUUAGCUAGUUGGUGGGGUAAAGGCCUACCAAGGCGACGAUCCGUAACUGGUCUGAGAGGAUGAUCAGUCACACUGGAACUGAGACACGGUCCAGACUCCUACGGGAGGCAGCAGUGGGGAAUAUUGGACAAUGGGCGAAAGCCUGAUCCAGCCAUGCCGCGUGUGUGAAGAAGGUCUUCGGAUUGUAAAGCACUUUAAGUUGGGAGGAAGGGCAGUAAGUUAAUACCUUGCUGUUUUGACGUUACCAACAGAAUAAGCACCGGCUAACUUCGUG
rnacentral:rRNA from 1 species